UAAAUCUUGUGACGCGCGGUGUUCAACUUUAGUCAGCGCCAGGCGCUUACCGAGGAGGGACGUAUCGCUCGCUGUUGCGCCGCGUAAACUCGCCGGAGUUCGAAAAAUAUAGCGCAACCUAGGCAUCUAACACGUUUUGAUACUAGUGAGUUUUAUUUUAUUUAUUAGUUAUAAUGAUCUGAUUGAAAUGUAAUAUACAUAAGUAUUAGGCCAUGAUAUUCUAAUUCGAAAAUGUUAUAGAUUGGGUUCUCUUUUUUUGAUGUUGGUUAUAAAGAAAUAUGUACGUAAAUGUCAUCGUCGUUAGUUUCGCUGUUGCAUAAUAAUGUAAUUGGACUUCUUUGAUUCUUGCAGGAUAAUGAAAGCAUAUUUAAUUCAGACUAUCAGACUCAAUUGAAUACCAGUACAAAUAAUAUGGAAAAUGAAGAUACAAUACAUGGAAGACGAAUUAUAGAUUUUAGUUUUUUUAUAAAUCAAUUACUUAUAAUUGAUAAACAUGGUGAAAAGUUUGGUUGUCGAUUAAAUAAUUUAAAAAUUGUAAACGAUUACUUGUUUAUUGUAACUCAAUCGAGCUAUUCUAGGUUAUAAAAUUCAUCGGUACAAAUAAUAUUUCAUAAACUAUAAAAACAAUAAAUUAUUUCGGAAAAAAGUGGCAAAGUCUCAAGUUUGUUUGUGCCGCGUGGCGGUCCGCAGGUGUGCGUUGCGUAUUUCACUAGACGCACACAUGCGCAAGUGCUGCCGGCUAUCGUCUAAUUUACCUACAACUGAGCAAUUCGAUUUUGUAAUAGCGCUCUUAAAAUGUAA